GUAUCUCAAGCAAACCACAGAUGGAUAUUCCUCCUCUGACAGAGAAUCAGUCUGCUACUCUUAGUUGUGAGAUGGAACGUGCAUAUUGCUCUGGACCAACUACAAAAAUAGAGUGGAAGGGGAAAGCAGCAGACAAUCAUCCAAUUUUAUCAGGAGUUGGUGGGCUGUCAUCUACUGGGGUCUAUAGUCAAAGAUCAUUUUUUAGUCUCAUAUUUGACUCCACUUACCAUAAUACUGUUCUGACAUGUAUGAUUGUGUACAUGGAUGAUAUCAUCACAGAGCAACAUGUGACCCUGAUCGUAAGAUAUGCUCCCAAGAUAGAGAAUGGUUCUAAAUGCAGCAUCUCUGAGCACCUCUCAACCUGUGUGUGUAUCAGUCAUGGGGUGCCCUUGCCAAUCAUCACAUGGCCACUAGGGUUCACUUCUCAGGACUACAACAUGACCACAUCAGCGUCCGAUGACACUGUGACCAGCACCAUCACCACAUCAGCUGCACUCCUUAGGGGAAAUGACACUGUUAUGUGUCUCAGCAAGAAUGAGCUUGGCCAAGCAAGUAUGACGCUGACAGUUAACUUUACUAAAAGAGGAGAAGAAAAUCCAUUACAGGGACCUGGACACUGCAACCUUCCAUGGACACUGGCAAGCCUGUCAGUUACUUUAAAUGGGUUCCUGUUUUUGGGCCUUUUCCUCCUUGUAGUGGCAUGGAAGCGCAGCAAAGCUGUGACAGGAAAGGAAGAGAGCCAAACGUACUCUUCACUGGCCAGGAGAGAUGAGUCUGUCUACGACACCAUCAGCCAACGACCUUAGGAGAUCAGUGAAGCUAGCGUAUUGGUUUAAUAGUGGACCUUAGGAGAUCAGUGAAGCCAGCGUAUUGGUUUAAUAGUGUACCUUAGGAGAUCAGUGAAGCCAGCGUAUUGGUUUAA
ensembl:lncRNA